AUUCAGCUGAAGAGUCCAAAACAAGACGAAACCCGAGUCCUGGAU
rnacentral:hammerhead_ribozyme from 1 species